rnacentral:rRNA from 1 species
UUUUAUGGAGAGUUUGAUCCUGGCUCAGGAUGAACGCUGGCGGCGUGCCUAAUACAUGCAAGUCGAGCGAACAGACGAGGAGCUUGCUCCUCUGACGUUAGCGGCGGACGGGUGAGUAACACGUG